GAUGAAGAACGUAGCGAAAUGCGAUAAGUAAUGUGAAUUGCAGAAUUCAGUGAAUCAUCGAACCUUUGAACGCACAUUGCGCCCGCCAGUAUUCUGGCGGGCAUGCCUGUCUGAGCGUCAUUUCAACCCUCAUGCCCCUAGGGCGUGGUGUUGGGGAUCGGCCAAAGCCCGCGAGGGACGGCCGGCCCCUAAAUCUAGUGGCGGACCCGUCGUGGCCUCCUCUGCGAAGUAGUGAUAUUCCGCAUCGGAGAGCGACGAGCCCCUGCCGUUAAACCCCCAACUUUCCAAGGUUGACCUCAGAUCAGGUAGGAAUACCCGCUGAACUUAAGCAUAUCAAUAAGCGGAGGA
rnacentral:misc_RNA from 1 species